GAUGAACGCUGGCGGCGCGCCUAACACAUGCAAGUCGAACGGCACCCCCUCUCCGGAGGGAAGCGAGUGGCGAACGGCUGAGUAACACGUGGAGAACCUGCCCCCCUCCCCCGGGAUAGCCGCCCGAAAGGACGGGUAAUACCGGAUACCCCGGGGGUGCCGCAUGGCACCCCGGCUAAAGCCCCCGACGGGAGGGGAUGGCUCCGCGGCCCAUCAGGUAGACGGCGGGGUGACGGCCCACCGUGCCGACAACGGGGUAGCCGGGUUGAGAGACCGACCGGCCAGAUUGGGACUGAGACACGGCCCAGACUCCUACGGGAGGCAGCAGUGGGGAAUCUUGCGCAAUGGGGGGAACCCUGACGCAGCGACGCCGCGUGCGGGACGGAGGCCUUCGGGUCGUAAACCGCUUUCAGCAGGGAAGAGUCAAGACUGUACCUGCAGAAGAAGCCCGGCUAACUACGUGCCAGCAGCCGCGGUAAGCUCGUCUCUA
rnacentral:rRNA from 1 species